rnacentral:rRNA from 1 species
UACAGAGGUCUCAAGCGUUGUUCGGAUUCAUUGGGCGUAAAGGGUGCGUAGGUGGUGAGUAAGUCGGGAUGUGAAAUCUCCAGGCUCAACCUGGAAAUGGCAUUGGAAACUACCUUGCUAGAGGGUUUGAGGGGGGGACUGGAAUACUUGGUGUAGCAGUGAAAUGCGUAGAUAUCAAGUGGAACACCAGUGGCGAAAGGCGAGUCCCUGGAAAAGUACCGACACUGGAGGCACGAAAGCUAGGGGAGCAAACAGG